UACGUAGGCAGCAAGCGUUGUUCGGAAUUACUGGGCGUAAAGAGUGUGUAGGUGGUGUCGUAAGUUUGGUGUGAAAUCUCCCGGCUUAACUGGGAGGGUGCGCCGAAGACUGCGAUGCUGGAGUAUGGGAGAGGAAAGCGGAAUUCCUGGUGUAGCGGUGAAAUGCGUAGAUAUCAGAAGGAACACCUGCGGUGUAGACGGCUUUCUGGACCAUUACUGACACUGAGACACGAAAGCGUGGGUAGCGAACAGG
rnacentral:rRNA from 1 species